GCCCUUCCUUAUGUGGGUCCGAUUACCGGUGGACUCAGAGCAGGGACGGCCUUGUACUUAAAGGGAGUUGCUGGUACUACAGGUGAUCGGUUUUCAGUAAACUUCAAGACUGGCCAGGGUGACAAUGAUGAUAUUGCUUUCCACUUCAAUCCCCGAUACAACUCAAAUGUGGUCAUGAACACCUUCAGAAAUGGAGGAUGGGAGGCUGAGGAAUUUGGCCCUAACAACCCCUUCAAAAUGGGAGAAGCUUUUGAGAUUUUUUUUGUGUUCAAACCUGAAGGAUAUCUGGUAUAUGUGAAUGGCAAAGAGCACUAUCUGUUCAAACACCGUAUUCCAUUGGAAAAAGUCUCAGUGUUGAAUAUUGUUGGAGAUGUUGUGGUGAACCUUGCAGGCUUCAUACAA